rnacentral:rRNA from 1 species
CGGACGGUUGGGUAAUGAUGGGAUCUGGCCUGAUGGGGGGGGAACUACUGAACGGUAGCUAAUACCCGCAUAAUGUCUUCGGACCAAAGCGGGGACCUUCGGGCCUCGCGCCAUCAGAUGAACCCAUAUGGGAUUAGCUUGUAGUGAGGUAACGGCUCACCUAGCGAGAUCCUACUGGUCUGAAGGGUGAUCAGCCACACUGGGACUGAGACACGGCCAGACUCCUACGGGAGGCAGCAGUGGGGAAUAUUGCACAAUGGGCGCAAGCCUGAUGCAGCCAUGCCGCGUGUAUGAAGAAGGCCUUCGGGUUGUAAAGUACUUUCAGUCGGGAGGAAGGUGGUCAAGGUUAAUAACCUUAUCAAUUGACGUUACCGACAGAAGAAGCACCGGUAACUCCGUGCCAGCAGCCGCGGUUAAUACGGAGGGUGCAAGCGUUAAUCGGAAUUACUGGGCGUAAAGCGCACGCAGGCGGUUGAUUGAGUCAGAUGUGAAAUCCCCGGGCUUAACCCGGGAAUUGCAUCUGAUACUGGUACAGCUAGAGUCUUGUAAGGGGGGUAGAAUUCCAUCGCGUAGCCGGUGAAAUGCGUACAGCAUGUGGAC